AGGCGUGCGAUACAGGGUGACAGCCCCGUACACAAAAAUGCACAUGCUGUGAGCUCGAUGAGUAGGGCGGGACACGUGGUAUCCUGUCUGAAUAUGGGGGGACCAUCCUCCAAGGCUAAAUACUCCUGACUGACCGAUAGUGAACCAGUACCGUGAGGGAAAGGCGAAAAGAACCCCGGCGAGGGGAGUGAAAAAGAACCUGAAACCGUGUACGUACAAGCAGUGGGAGCACGCUUAGGCGUGUGACUGCGUACCUUUUGUAUAAUGGGUCAGCGACUUAUAUUCUGUAGCAAGGUUAACCGAAUAGGGGAGCCGAAGGGAAACCGAGUCUUAACUGGGCGUUAAGUUGCAGGGUAUAGACCCGAAACCCGGUGAUCUAGCCAUGGGCAGGUUGAAGGUUGGGUAACACUAACUGGAGGACCGAACCGACUAAUGUUGAAAAAUUAGCGGAUGACUUGUGGCUGGGGGUGAAAGGCCAAUCAAACCGGGAGAUAGCUGGUUCUCCCCGAAAGCUAUUUAGGUAGCGCCUCGUGAAUUCAUCUCCGGGGGUAGAGCACUGUUUCGGCAAGGGGGUCAUCCCGACUUACCAACCCGAUGCAAACUGCGAAUACCGGAGAAUGUUAUCACGGGAGACACACGGCGGGUGCUAACGUCCGUCGUGAAGAGGGAAACAACCCAGACCGCCAGCUAAGGUCCCAAAGUCAUGGUUAAGUGGGAAACGAUGUGGGAAGGCCCAGACAGCCAGGAUGUUGGCUUAGAAGCAGCCAUCAUUUAAAGAAAGCGUAAUAGCUCACUGGUCGAGUCGGCCUGCGCGGAAGAUGUAACGGGGCUAAACCAUGCACCGAAGCUGCGGCAGCGACGCUGAUGCGUUGUUGGGUAGGGGAGCGUUCUGUAAGCCUGCGAAGGUGUGCUGUGAGGCAUGCUGGAGGUAUCAGAAGUGCGAAUGCUGACAUAAGUAACGAUAAAGCGGGUGAAAAGCCCGCUCGCCGGAAGACCAAGGGUUCCUGUCCAACGUUAAUCGGGGCAGGGUGAGUCGACCCCUAAGGCGAGGCCGAAAGGCGUAGUCGAUGGGAAACAGGUUAAUAUUCCUGUACUUGGUGUUACUGCGAAGGGGGGACGGAGAAGGCUAUGUUGGCCGGGCGACGGUUGUCCCGGUUUAAGCGUGUAGGCUGGUUUUCCAGGCAAAUCCGGAAAAUCAAGGCUGAGGCGUGAUGACGAGGCACUACGGUGCUGAAGCAACAAAUGCCCUGCUUCCAGGAAAAGCCUCUAAGCAUCAGGUAACAUCAAAUCGUACCCCAAACCGACACAGGUGGUCAGGUAGAGAAUACCAAGGCGCUUGAGAGAACUCGGGUGAAGGAACUAGGCAAAAUGGUGCCGUAACUUCGGGAGAAGGCACGCUGAUAUGUAGGUGAAGUCCCUCGCGGAUGGAGCUGAAAUCAGUCGAAGAUACCAGCUGGCUGCAACUGUUUAUUAAAAACACAGCACUGUGCAAACACGAAAGUGGACGUAUACGGUGUGACGCCUGCCCGGUGCCGGAAGGUUAAUUGAUGGGGUCAGCGCAAGCGAAGCUCUUGAUCGAAGCCCCGGUAAACGGCGGCCGUAACUAUAACGGUCCUAAGGUAGCGAAAUUCCUUGUCGGGUAAGUUCCGACCUGCACGAAUGGCGUAAUGAUGGCCAGGCUGUCUC
rnacentral:rRNA from 1 species